AACGCACGAGACCUGCGGACCUGCGGAGGGAUCAUUACCGAGUUUACAACUCCCAAACCCAUGUGAACAUACCUACUGUUGCUUCGGCGGGAUUGCCCCGGGCGCCUCGUGUGCCCCGGAUCAGGCGCCCGCCUAGGAAACUUAACUCUUGUUUUAUUUUGGAAUCUUCUGAGUAGUUUUUACAAAUAAAUAAAAACUUUCAACAAUGGAUCUCU
rnacentral:misc_RNA from 1 species